UGGCAGCACAUAUACUAAAAUUGGAAAAUUGGAACAAUACAGAGAAGAUAAGCGUGCCCCUGCGCAAGGAUGACAAGCAAAUUUGUGAAGCGUUCCAUAUUUUU